rnacentral:rRNA from 1 species
CCCUUAGAUGUCCUGGGCCGCACGCGCGCUACAAUGACACGUUCAGCAAGUUCUAUCCUGGCCCGGUAGGGUUUCGGGUAAUCUUUAUAGUACGUGUCGUGUUAGGGAUCGAUCUUUGGAACUAUAGAUCUUGAACGAGGAAUUCCUAGUAUGUGCAAGUCAUCAGCUUGUACAGAUUACGUCCCUGCCCUUUGUACACACCGCCCGUCGCUCCUACCGAUUCGAGUGGUCCGGUGAACCUUCUGGACUGCGAGCGUCCCCGAGGCGCCCGCGGGAAGUUAAGUAAACCUUAUCACUUAGAGGAAGGAGAAGUCGUAACA